AUAUUAACCUGGACAUCAUGCCUUCCAAACAUUAAAUGAGCUGAGCGAUGUUUUAUUACAUUUCUCAUGUGGCUAAGCUUAGUGCAGCUUUUAAGUGUUCCUUGGUAUGCCGUGCUUACGCAAGUUAUUUUCUGCUGUGGAUUGUUGAUGCUGCAGCAGCAGAUAGAAUGAUGUGCCUUGAAUUCCAAUGAGGAGAAGGGGGGGCUUUUUGAAUAAAGAGCAGUCUCAGGAGAAAGCUGAUCAAGAAUCCUUACAAUGAACCGCAGCCUCAGGGAUGCAGCCCUUUGGAAUGCCUCUCUGUUAUCUGUUUACUCUGAACAGCCAGGAAUGGCAGGGGAGGAGUGACACAGCAGUGGUUGUCCUUGUGACUGCAAGUGCUAGCGAUGCUUUGUUUUGAAAGAUUAUUUGGAAAAGAGUGAGGAUGACAUCACUGGCCCAGGCACCCAAGGAAGAAGCAGCCCGGGGAAUGGCCUCCACAGCAGAGUGGCAGACGGUCACAGCCAGGACCGGAGCAGCUCGCAGCAAACCGGUACCAGCUUCUCCAGUCCGACUGGUGAACAGAACAAGAGAUCCACAAGGACCCAGAGGAGGAGGCGAUGAGUGCUCGUCAUAGGCGACUCCAUCCUGAGAGGUACGGAAGGACCCAUCUGUCGCCAGGACCCCUCGGCACGAGAGUGACCGGACAAGGAAGAUGGCAGGAGAACUGCAUCAGAGAGACCAACUGGUGGCUUCGGCAGUAGUGUCUUGAGGCAGGCUUCGGCUUCCUGGAUAAUGACCCGCACAUCACGAUGAGGGACAUGCUCAGCUGGGAUGGGCUUCACCUGUCCCCCAAAGGUUCCUGGUGGAUCCAAUCCUUUCCGAAAACAUCAGGAGUCCAUGGCUCUGUUGCAGAUGAGUAUUUUAGCUUACUUGGGCUUACGUUAUUUCCGAAGGCCCCUUCCUAGGGCUGCUAACUUUCUCUCAGUGUGGCUUUGCUCUGCUCUGGGUCUGCCAGAGAACCUACUUUCAGUUCCUCCUGCCCACUGUCCAUUGGGGUUUUUAUUCCCCUUUCAAGGGGCCAGCCAGCGAAUCGGAACCAGCACGCUGCCAUAAAACACGCCCAUGCUGGCACGGGAGCUGGUCCCGGCUCCUCCCAGACCGGUUGCUCUCUUUUUUUUUCUUUUUCCAAUGCAGCAUUUUUCCUGGCUGUGGCUUUGCUCCUGCCACGCUUCCCCCUUGGCAUGGCCUCCUGCCAGCUCCAUUUGUCUUUCUCUUUAGGUAAGUCUUCCUCCAUGGCCUUGUUCUUGGCUUGGCAAAUCUUUACUGAAAACACUUCCCAGCCUGAAGAGGAUAGUAUGAGAGGAGGCACAAAGGGGAACUGAAAGGAAAUUGAACUAAUGAUCAUAACAGCUGGCAAUUAUUUUAUUUACUGGAUUUAUAUACCACCCUCCCCCAAAAAGGUACAGGAUGGUUUACAAUGAAAACGAGAUAAAAUGUAUAAUUUUUUCACAUAAGUUUAUGUUAAAAAAAAGAAGCCCCACACUGCUGUCAGAGCAGAGACAAGGAGUCAGGAGCUCGGUAGUGUAUAAGUUAUAAGUAUCAGGAUGGAGUUAGGAUCUAAGGAGCCUUGUAAGGGAAGGCCACUGAGUUAUGUUUGGUCCAACAGAGAAGCCAGUGGAGGGAUACAAUCUUAGAUCUGCAUUAAAAAUGGUAAACUAGUGGUGUCUAGGUCAUGUAAUCCCAUAGGCUGCAUCCGGAUUGCAGGGCUUCCUGUGAAUGGGAUGAUCAGUGAGCAGAUGCUUUUUCAGUGAAGCUAUUGAAACCUAGGAAGUUAACACUGUUACUGCUUGCUUCCCACUCUUUAUCACCAAAAGACACUAAAAACCCUGAUUUGGAUGGCAGGUAAGGGGGACCAAGGAGGCAAGCAGCAUUAACCCAUGGGUCCCAAUGCUGUGCCAAAACAGCCAGUAAUAUUGCCACUGCUGCAGGAGCUCCAGCAGCUAGGGCAAUGAGCCCUGCAGCCAAAUCCAGCCUGCAGAGGUUGGUGGUCCAGCUUGUGAGGGGCCCAUGGGCUGAGUAACCCAACCCCCCUGGGCUUGACCCAGCCCACAGGCUACAUUUUGUUACCCUAGCUUUAUAUGAUGCAUGAAGCAGAACAGAACCCUGUCCAUUCUCCCAAAACUUGUUGAGUUUCUGGGGGCUAACAAGCAAAAACUCAACAAAGUAUCAAAGUAGCAAUGCCCACAGGUUGUUUUUUUUUUUCCUUUUCCCUUAUACCAGACUAAUGGUAUGUGUUCACUGUAAAAUGAAGGUAUUAUUAUAGCAUGUGCUAGCAUACUAGUACCAGCUUAAUUUAGCUAGCAUGGGUAACAGUAACAGUGAAGAUGCAACAACAUAGACCCCAACAUCACAUCCCAGGUUCCCUGGGGGAUGUGUACUCUGGUUGAUAAUGAAUGCUCAACCUGUAAGGCCAGGUCUUCACUGCUACCAUUGCCCAGACUAGCUGGUACCGCUAUGCCAGUAGUGUCAAACUUACCUGGACCAGACUGUAUGUGGACUGCAGGGUUUCUUGUGGGCCAUAUCUGGACCAUGAAGAGCCUUAUAGGGCAGAUUCAGACCAGCAGCAGGAUCAGCGGCACUGGGGCAAAUAGCGGUGGUGGUCCUCCCCCUUCUCCCCCAUAUGUAUUCCCAAUGAGGCUCUAUAGCUGGGAAAUUGCCUGAAUCUGAAGCCCCUUUAGGAGACCUGUGGGCUCAGUGAAACAACUUCAAGGGCUGGAUCUGGCCUGCAGUGUGGAUCUUUGAUACCAGUGAGCUAUGCAAACACAUGCCACAGUGACAGCUUCAUUUUGCUGUGUGGACUCACCCUAAAACAGUAGAUGAACAUUAUUGUAGUGUAAGGCUGGCAUAAGAAAUAAAAUAAUUAUGCCUGAUGGAAGCAAGUCCUCUUGAGUAAGGAAGUUACUAUUUUUAUACAGUCACUUUCCAAUGCAGAAAGGCAAUAUAAACAGCUUUGAAAAUGCUGACUUCUACACACUUUGCACAACUGCAUAUGGUGAUAAAGUAAAUUUAGGGCUUGUAACAUGCAGUUGUUGACAUGUAUUGAGCUGCUGAAAACAAAUUAUCUUUCAUAUUGAACAGGUCCAGCACAGACAGCAGCAGAAAAAGCAAUCCCUGCCAAUAUGCUUCAGCCUCAUUCAAGAGAGAGAUUUGUCCAGAGUAAAGAAAUGAUUUAAUUCUGGGCUCAUCCCAUUCUUUGUCUCUUUUCCAGUGACAACCAACAAGGGCAGCGAUCAGUGUGGUGGGAAUAUCUGUUCCCUCAAAACUCCUCUGAGGUUACCCAGCACACUUCAUACAAACCAUCACAGCCUUCAUAUUAUGGUAAUCUGCAGCCACUGCCUCACCUGGCACUGACUUGGAGCCUGUGUGUAUUACAAGAUUUGACAGCAAAUAACUACUGCCACAGGGAAGCUGGCAAAGUGUGUUCCCACCCACACAGCUUCCGGUGGUUGCACGUGGCUCCAAUACAACCAGUGUGCCUGCAAGGGCCAGAUCUGCUAACAAGAAGUGUGGACAUGUCUGUACACGCAGUCUGCAGCUUUGUUUAGGUGGAGAGUCCUUCUGUUGCUCACACAGCAGACAUUGCUCUGCUGGCAGAACAAGGGGGAGCUGUACGUAUGGAUACAGUCAAAUUUUUGCUGGGAGGUUUAGCUGGAAAAAUUAUCAGGCCUUAAACCUCUAAGAAGAGGAAAGAUGGGCUCUGAAUUCCAUUUCAGAAUAUAUCAAAUAUUAUAAAAGCCUUAAUCUGUUUGUCCAUAAUGCUUUAUUCAUGCUCUGAUUGGCUGACAAACAGCCAAUCAGAGUGUGAAGAAGCAUUUGGACAUUCUUGAUGGGCAAUUGGCUAGUAUCCCAAUAUAUUCCCUAUUUCUGUUAAUUGGCAUCACUGAUGCAGCACCAAGCAGUAGUGAAAAGGUCAUUUCAGUGCUGUAUCAACCUAGUUAAGCUUCCAACAAAUGCCCUUCUCAUAGUGUGCUGAAAGUGUCAUGGUUUUCAUUAGUGCUUAUUAAAAACACUACAAUUCUGUCCUCCAGGUGCAUUACAUUUAGAGUUAUGAGCAUUUACUGAACCCAGGCAAGUACCUUUCUGCUGAAAAUGGCAGUUUUAAAUGUCAAUAACUUGUAAGUGGGCUGAGGGAAAAGGCCUGUACGUGCACAAAUGAAUAAUGAUUUUGACUACUGUAGGUGGACUCUGCAUACAAGAGCAGAAAGUCUACAGGAUCUAGUUUUCUUUCUAUAGAAUACAGAAAGGAGCACUGUGAAACCAAAUCUUUAAAUGCACAUAACUGACAUAAAAGGCCCUAUUACUGUAUCUAAUUUAUUACUAUAAGAACUGUCCUUGUGUUCUCAAUUUAUAUUUUCUGCCAGAAUCAAAUCAACUUUCUUUUGGAAGAAUGCAAUAGCAUGAUGGUCUUGACCAACCAUUAUAAUCUGUAUGACUGUGUUACUGAAAGCAGAGAUACUGGGCUGGAGAUGUAGGAUCCAUUUAACAGGAAAAGACAGUUCUUAACAGCAUGACAGGGUAUUACAGUUGUCACUCAUAUGUCUAUUAUGAAGAGCUGUUUGUAUACCCAUUAUGCAAUUGAACUGAGUGAUUAAAGGUUUCUUCUGAAAUGAAAAUUAUUAUAUGAGAUUUGUUCACACAGGGAAUUGAUAUUUUACAUAGUGGGGCAGGGCAGGGUGUUCAUCUUAAAACAACUUGUUUUUAUACAAUCCACUUCUUUUUCUUAAUUACCUGGCUAGUUCUUGCAAAUUGGAAAAUCCAUCUUUCAAAUGGAUUCAAUUCAUUUCAGAAUAAAUUAGUCCUGGAAAAGUUUCAUGUGGGCAGAC